AGAUUGAACGCUGGCGGCAGGCCUAACACAUGCAAGUCGAGCGGUAGAGAGGUGCUUGCAUCUCUUGAGAGCGGCGGACGGGUGAGUAAUGCCUAGGAAUCUGCCUAGUGGUGGGGGAUAACGUUCGGAAACGGACGCUAAUACCGCGUACGUCCUACGGGAGAAAGCGGGGGACCUUCGGGCCUCGCGCCAUUAGAUGAGCCUAGGUCGGAUUAGCUAGUUGGUGAGGUAAUGGCUCACCAAGGCGACGAUCCGUAACUGGUCUGAGAGGAUGAUCAGUCACACUGGAACUGAGACACGGUCCAGACUCCUACGGGAGGCAGCAGUGGGGAAUAUUGGACAAUGGGCGAAAGCCUGAUCCAGCCAUGCCGCGUGUGUGAAGAAGGUCUUCGGAUUGUAAAGCACUUUAAGUGGAGAAGGUUGUAACCUAAUACGUUGCAACUUUGACGUUACCGACAGAAUAAGCACCGCUAACUCGUGCCAGCAGCCGCGUAAC
rnacentral:rRNA from 1 species